rnacentral:rRNA from 1 species
GACGGAGGAUGCAAGUGUUAUCCGGAAUCACUGGGCGUAAAGCGUCUGUAGGUGGUUCGAAAAGUCCACUGUUAAAAAUUGAGGCUUAACUUCAAAGAUGCCGUGGAAACUUUCAAACUAGAGUAUGGUAGGGGUAGAGGGAAUUUCCAGUGGAGCGGUGAAAUGCGUAGAUAUUGGAAAGACCACCGAUGGCGAAGGCACUCUACUGGGCCAUUACUGACAUUGAGAGACGAAAGCUAGGGGAGCAAAUGGG